GCCGAUGUAGCUCAGUUGGUAGAGCAACGCAUUCGUAAUGCGCAGGUCGGGGGUUCAAGUCCCUCCAUCGGCACCA
rnacentral:tRNA from 1 species